rnacentral:lncRNA from 1 species
GUUUCCUUCCCGGCGCUGCUGGCAGGCUGCCCGCGGGCUGGAGCACGGCCUCCGAGAGCAGCCCGCGGCUCCGUGACCCUGCCAAGGAGGGGAACGCCGGCCAGGCCGGCCUCCGGAGCCCCUCGGGACGGCGCCGCCUUCCACCCCUGUAAGGUCAGAGGCGCCUGUCGUCGCCAUCCGUUUCAUCUGUCCCACUUUUCUCCCCCUCGCGCGCACGCAGCACCCCAUCGCUGGACAUCCUUUAGCCGCUCGCAACUCCCAAGCCGCGCUCACCCUCCGCCUCCGCCCUCCCCUCUCUCGCUUGGCGAUUUGGUCUUUUAGGAGCAUCUGGCUGCCCCUCGCUACUCCCCGCCUUUACUCAGACGCCUUCCUCACACCCCGUGCCAGAGCGAAUGCUCCUAGUUUUUUUUUUACCCCUAAGGUGGUUCCAACUACUGGCCGGAGGGAAACCUUUCCUGUCCUCACCCGCAGAUCGGCAGACGGUGCACUUAGCAGCUCUAUGCACCUUGGUUUGUCCAGACUGCCGUCUUGGUCUUGCUCAUUGCUGCAGUCCUAGUUCCCACCUCAGACAAUGAUGCUAAUUUUGAGAGAAAGUAAAGCAGGAAAAGACCGUCUUACGAGGCUUCCGCAGCCCUCUUAGGGUUCCUGUGGCCCAGAACCCUACAAGAGUGAUUCAAUUCUGUAAGAGAAGAUGGAGGGUGGCGGGGUGGGGGAGUAGGAACAGCUAGGCCAGGUGUGCACAGGUGUGCAGCCACAGUGAGCAACAGUACCCACGAGGUGGCCCCUCUGCCCCCAUCCACAGUGGCCUUUAGUCCACUGAGGCAAGAACCGACAAGCCCCUGCAGGCCCUGCUACCACAGCUGCAGGGACUUAAGCCUGGGCCAGACUCACAGGUACCCUGAGGUGAUCUGCCCUAAGAGUCGGGGACAGGGACGGGCACCAUAGUCACUGAAGUCCAGGCUUAAUGUUGGGUGGAGACAGGCAAGCCUCCAUGUUGCUGGUAUCCAUCUUGAGAGCCUUGCCGCCAGAGAAAGGGUUUCCAGAGCCAGGCAGCCUGUGGGCUGUUGUGUUUGUUUAUUUUUAUACUGCAUUUUUAUUUAUCUGUGUGUCGUAUGUGGAGAUCAGAGGACAGUAUGUAGGAGUCUCAUCUGCCAUGCGUGCCCCAGGGCUCAUGUUCAGGGCUGGAUAUUGGAUCUGGGUUGAGAAGGUGAACCUUUUUGAAGAAACAAAGGCACGUGACGACAUGCAGUGUAACAGUCAUCUGGGGAUUUCCACGAUUUUGUUGUUGUGAGACAGGAUCUCUCUCUCUCUCUCUCUCUCUCUCUCUCUCUCUCUCUCUCUGUGUGUGUGUGUGUGUGUGUGUCUAUCUCUCUCUUCUUUCUGUCCAUAGCACUGGCUGGAACUCAUUAUGUAGACCAAUCUGGCCUCUAGAACCCCCAAGGAUCCAGCUGCCUCAACCUCAAAAGUGCUGAGAUUAAAAAU